rnacentral:rRNA from 1 species
UACGGAGGGUGCAAGCGUUAUCCGGAUUCACUGGGCUUAAAGGGUGCGUAGGUGGGCUGGUAAGUCAGUGGUGAAAUCUCCAGGCUUAACUUGGAAACUGCCAUUGAUACUAUCAGUCUUGAAUACCGUGGAGGUCAGCGGAAUAUGUCAUGUAGCGGUGAAAUGCUUAGAUAUGACAUAGAACACCAAUUGCGAAGGCAGCUGGCUACACGAAUAUUGACACUGAUGCACGAAAGCGUGGGGAGCAAACAGG